AGUUCAUGCAAAGCCUCUAUUGCUGUAUCGCUUGCUGUGUGCAGUGUACAUCGAAAAUCAUACAGAUGUAAACUAGAAUACGGCAGCACUUCCUUGUUCUUUUAAGAGAAUUAUCAUUCUGUAGAUUUGUCCUCAUACUGGCGAUUCACAAGAAGAAUUUCUGCCAUGCGACGACAUAGUCGAGGGCCUCGAGGCUGUUGUAUACCGUAGCAACUAAAAGCAAGUGGCAUGAUUGCUAGCAUCAGUCGAAGAAUUGUCGUGUAGAAAGACAUUGUCGCGCAGGAGAAAGAACUUGUAAACGCUUUAUAGAGUCAAUUAGAUUGUUGCUUUCGUUCUGUUCUGAAAUGGUCUUAGUGAAAGUAUUUAUCAUGUUUGUAAUUUCCAUUACUUGCAUCAAUAUGAAACUCAACUGCAUACUUCGUUCAAGUGGGAGUGAGUCCAGUAAGAAGAUUGAUCAAUACCGUAUAUAUUAUAGACUAUUAUGGCUUUCACAACGUUUCCUCGAACAAAUGAGUGCUUGAUACUGAAAGCCCAGAGCAAAGCUACACCUGCAAAGCAUUCCAGCUGAUAAGAAUAAUGAAUCAUCUUUGGAGCAAAAUAUUAAAAACUGAAAGGCA